CCAGAAGCAGGUGAGCCACUGACUAACGCACAUUGUGCUGCUAAUGUCCCCACUGUGCGUGUGACAGCGGCUAACCUGCUUCUAGGACA
rnacentral:pre_miRNA from 1 species